rnacentral:rRNA from 4 species
UCAAGUAAUUAAGUGCAUGUGGUGGAUGCCUUGGCAGUCAGAGGCGAUGAAAGACGUGAUAGCCUGCGAAAAGCUCCGGGGAGGCGGCAAAUAUCCUUUGAUCCGGAGAUGUCUGAAUGGGGGAACCCACCUACUUUAAGGUAGGUAUUGCAACAUGAAUACAUAGUGUUGCAAGGCGAACGAGGGGAAGUGAAACAUCUCAGUACCCUUAGGAAAAGAAAUCAAUUGAGAUUCCCUCAGUAGCGGCGAGCGAACGGGGAUCAGCCCAUUAAGUUAUGUGUGUUUUAGUGGAACGCUCUGGGAAGUGCGAACGUAGAGGGUGAUAUUCCCGUACACGAAAGGGCACACAUAAUGAUGACGAGUAGGGCGAGGCACGUGAAACCUUGUCUGAAUAUGGGGGGACCAUCCUCCAAGGCUAAAUACUCCUGACUGACCGAUAGUGAACCAGUACCGUGAGGGAAAGGCGAAAAGAACCCCUGUGAGGGGAGUGAAAUAGAUCCUGAAACCGCAUGCAUACAAGCAGUGGGAGCACCUUCGUGGUGUGACUGCGUACCUUUUGUAUAAUGGGUCAGCGACUUAUAUUCAGUAGCGAGGUUAACCGUAUAGGGGAGCCGUAGAGAAAUCGAGUCUUAAUAGGGCGUUUAGUUGCUGGGUAUAGACCCGAAACCAGGCGAUCUAUCCAUGAGCAGGUUGAAGGUUGGGUAACACUAACUGGAGGACCGAACCCACUGUCGUUGAAAAGCCAGGGGAUGACUUGUGGAUAGGGGUGAAAGGCUAAUCAAGCCUGGUGAUAGCUGGUUCUCCCCGAAAGCUAUUUAGGUAGCGCCUCGGACGAAUACCAUAGGGGGUAGAGCACUGUUUCGGCUAGGGGGUCAUCCCGACUUACCAAACCGAUGCAAACUCCGAAUACCUAUGAGUACUAUCCGGGAGACAGACUGCGGGUGCUAACGUCCGUAGUCAAGAGGAAAACAAUCCAGACCGCCAGCUAAGGCCCCAAAAUCAUAGUUAAGUGGGAAACGAUGUGGGAAGGCAUAGACAGCUAGGAGGUUGGCUUAGAAGCAGCCACCCUUUAAAGAAAGCGUAAUAGCUCACUAGUCGAGUCGGCCUGCGCGGAAGAUGUAACGGGGCUAAAACUAUGUGCCGAAGCUGCGGAUGUAUACUUUGUAUACGUGGUAGGGGAGCGUUCUGUAAGCCGAUGAAGGUGUGUUGAGAAGCAUGCUGGAGGUAUCAGAAGUGCGAAUGCUGACGUGAGUAACGACAAAACGGGUGAAAAACCCGUUCGCCGAAAGACCAAGGGUUCCAGUCCAACGUUAAUCGGGGCUGGGUGAGUCGACCCCUAAGGCGAGGCCGAAAGGCGUAGUCGAUGGGAAAAUGGUUAAUAUUCCAUUACUUCUGUGUAAUGCGAUGAGAGGACGGAGAAGGCUAAAUCAGCCUGGCGUUGGUUGUCCAGGUGAAAGGAUGUAGGCAUGUAUCUUAGGCAAAUCCGGGGUACUCUAUGCUGAGAUCUGAUAGCAAGCUGUACUUGUACAGCGAAGUGGUUGAUGCCAUGCUUCCAGGAAAAGUCUCUAAGCUUCAGUUACACAGGAAUCGUACCCGAAACCGACACAGGUGGUCAGGUCGAGUAGACCAAGGCGCUUGAGAGAACUCUGCUGAAGGAACUAGGCAAAAUGGUACCGUAACUUCGGGAGAAGGUACGCUGUUGUUGGUGAUGGAACUUGCUUCCUGAGCUGACGACAGCCGCAGAAACCAGGCCGCUGCAACUGUUUAUUAAAAACAUAGCACUCUGCAAACACGAAAGUGGACGUAUAGGGUGUGAUGCCUGCCCGGUGCUGGAAGGUUAAUUGAUGGGGUUAGCGUAAGCGAAGCUCUUGAUCGAAGCCCCAGUAAACGGCGGCCGUAACUAUAACGGUCCUAAGGUAGCGAAAUUCCUUGUCGGGUAAGUUCCGACCUGCACGAAUGGCAUAAUGAUGGCGGCGCUGUCUCCAGCAGAGGCUCAGUGAAAUCGAAAUCGCUGUGAAGAUGCAGUGUACCCGCGGCUAGACGGAAAGACCCCGUGAACCUUUACUGCAGCUUGACACUGAACUUUGACCUUACUUGUGUAGGAUAGGUGGGAGGCUUUGAAGCUGGAACGCUAGUUCCAGUGGAGCCGUCCUUGAAAUACCACCCUGGUAAUGUUGAGGUUCUAACUCUGUCCCGUGAUCCGGGACGAGGACCGUGUCUGGUGGGUAGUUUGACUGGGGCGGUCUCCUCCUAAAGAGUAACGGAGGAGUACGAAGGUGCGCUCAGCGUGGUCGGAAAUCACGCGUAGAGUAUAAAGGCAAAAGCGCGCUUAACUGCGAGACCCACAAGUCGAGCAGGUACGAAAGUAGGUCUUAGUGAUCCGGUGGUUCUGUAUGGAAGGGCCAUCGCUCAACGGAUAAAAGGUACUCUGGGGAUAACAGGCUGAUACCGCCCAAGAGUUCAUAUCGACGGCGGUGUUUGGCACCUCGAUGUCGGCUCAUCUCAUCCUGGGGCUGAAGCAGGUCCCAAGGGUAUGGCUGUUCGCCAUUUAAAGAGGUACGCGAGCUGGGUUUAGAACGUCGUGAGACAGUUCGGUCCCUAUCUACCGUGGGCGCUGGAAAUUUGAGAGGAUCUGCUCCUAGUACGAGAGGACCAGAGUGGACGAACCUCUGGUGUACCGGUUGUGACGCCAGUCGCAUCGCCGGGUAGCUAUGUUCGGAAGGGAUAACCGCUGAAAGCAUCUAAGCGGGAAGCCUACCUCAAGAUAAGAUUUCCCUAGGACUUUAUGUCCUCUAAAGAGCCGUUCGAGACUAGGACGUUGAUAGGUUGGAUGUGGAAGCAUAGUGAUAUGUGAAGCUGACCAAUACUAAUUGCUCGUGAGGCUUGACUAU